rnacentral:lncRNA from 1 species
GUAAAAUGAGUGUAAUAGAAAUCAUACCUACUCCAUAAGUUGUUGUGAAGAUUAAAUGAAUUAUUACAUGUUGAAUGAACAGUCUUAAACUGCAGAAAUAUGGCAUACAUGAAAGAAAAAUGGGGCAAAACCUACUAUGCCACCUUCAGAACCAACCCAUUACAUGUGAAGAACAUUCUUUCAAUAACUUGAGAACCUUCUUGAACCCCAAGUUUCGCUGCCUUGACACUUUGAGAAGGCUGGAGAUGAUUGCUAGCCCAGAGAACAAUGCUCAAAAGUGACUAUAGACGUCCUGUGAGCCAACACAAUGUCUUCUUCAUUCCUAUGUUCCUCAGACACAGCACAGAGCCACACGAACGGAAGCAUAAAAACAACUUACAAUUCUCAAUUUAGAAGAUCUUACUUUAAUGGGAGCUCAUAUUUAUACUCCUCCCAAGACACACACACAAUAGUCUCUGUACAUACCGUUAAAUUUAGUCCUUUUUUCUUUUUCAAAAAGGAAGCAUCUGGAAUGCUUCAAUAACGAAAAAAGUACAUGAUAUGUUAAAUAUGCAGUGCCAAAGAAACACUCGGGAGAAAGUCCAGCAUGCAAUUGGAAAUUCAAGGCUGCUCAUCAGUGGAGUAGCAAGUCUGAAAACAUUUGUCAACUCUGCUUGAUCUUUCCACAUACCUCAUCGGCUGGCCCCUUGGGCCCAGAUUUCAACUGAUACUUCUGGCAGAAAAUGCUUGUACCAGUCUACGCCUAACAAUAAAGAACCCAGUUCCCAACUUCGACAUUUGGCUGGUGCUCCGGUGACGCCUGUCCCAAAAGAGAAAAGCCAAAGAAGUAAAUCUGAGUUACCUGAACAGAAAUUAAAAUUUCCCACAUAAAUAAAUCUCAUGAUUUC